ACCUUUUAGCUCCCAUUUCCACUGUAUCUGAACACUGGUCUUGGUGGUCACAAAAGGAGGAAAAAUAAUGCUGAAGCUAAUCUCACAGCCUUGUAAUCUGGUAAUAUACUGUGCAGGCUACUUUCAAACAGGA
ensembl:snoRNA